AGGAAUAUUGGUCAAUGGACGAGAGUCUGAACCAGCCAAGUAGCGUGAAGGAUGAAGGUUCUAUGGAUUGUAAACUUCUUUUAUACGGGAAUAAACGGAUCCACGUGUGGAUUUUUGCAUGUACCGUAUGAAUAAGGAUCGGCUAACUCCGUGCCAGCAGCCGCGGUAAUACGGAGGAUCCGAGCGUUAUCCGGAUUUAUUGGGUUUAAAGGGAGCGUAGAUGGGUUGUUAAGUCAGUUGUGAAAGUUUGCGGCUCAACCGUAAAAUUGCAAUUGAUACUGGCAGUCUUGAGUACAGUUGAGGUAGGCGGAAUUCGUGGUGUAGCGGUGAAAUGCUUAGAUAUCACGAAGAACUCCGAUUGCGAAGGCAGCUUACUAACCUGUAACUGACAUUGAUGCUCGAAAGUGUGGGUAUCAAACAGGAUUAGAUACCCUGGUAGUCCACACGGUAAACGAUGAAUACUCGCUGUAGGCGAUAUACAGUCUGCGGCCAAGCGAAAGCAUUAAGUAUUCCACCUGGGGAGUACGCCGGCAACGGUGAAACUCAAAGGAAUUGACGGGGGCCCGCACAAGCGGAGGAACAUGUGGUUUAAUUCGAUGAUACGCGAGGAACCUUACCCGGGCUUAAAUUGCAACCGAAUAUGGCGGAAACGCUAUAGCUAGCAAUAGCGGUUGUGAAGGUGCUGCAUGGUUGUCGUCAGCUCGUGCCGUGAGGUGUCGGCUUAAGUGCCAUAACGAGCGCAACCCUUGCCGAUAGUUACUAACAGGUCAUGCUGAGGACUCUGUCGGGACUGCCAUCGUAAGAUGUGAGGAAGGUGGGGAUGACGUCAAAUCAGCACGGCCCUUACGUCCGGGGCUACACACGUGUUACAAUGGGGGGUACAGAGGGCUGCUACCACGCAAGUGGAUGCCAAUCCCAAAAACCUCUCUCAGUUCGGAUUGAAGUCUGCAACCCGACUUCAUGAAGCUGGAUUCGCUAGUAAUCGCGCAUCAGCCACGGCGCGGUGAAUACGUUCCCG
rnacentral:rRNA from 1 species